AGGAAAAGACCUUCAGCAACAUGCCUGGCUUUGUGAGGUCUCUAGUGGCUAUGGAUGGAUUGCAUUGCAGAGGUGGGUAUGUGCAGCAGAGUACUGAUGUCCAAGGAGCCCAACUACAUGGAAUCCCCUGAAGCUGAAGUUGACAGAUGGUUUUGAGCUGCCUGUCAUGGGUUCUGAAAACUAGACCCUGGUCCUCGGGAAGAGCAUCAAGUGCUCUGAACAUGCCAGCCAUCUGUCCAGCAUCUUCCGUCUUGUAAAUGGAGGCCGGAUGAUGUGUCAUUCUGGCUUGAAAUCAAACUUUACAUCCCUGAAGUUAAAGGUGAAGAAGAAACGGAAGACAUACUUUGGAUGUCAAUGGUCUUCUGUAAAGAAGCGGCUGCAUUCGUAUUCACGGACUGGUGGAGAGCAUCUUCCUCAAGAGGACCAGGCUGCAAGAACAGGAGAGACCAUGGCAGAAAGUGAGAUCUUCAUAGUAAGUAGCACAGAAACCAAGCAAGUGAAAAACCCCAUCCUCUGCGGUGCGGCCUGCUCCAAGAGCUGAUUAGCAUUUUGCUGACAUCAGGUCCCCAGGUGGGUGUAGUUGGUUAUAUUUUAUGUCUUGUAUCCAUAUAAUUAAAUUCCAAGGAGUUUUCCUAUUGGUCUCAAGAUUAAUGUAUAGAAGCCCUGAAGCAGGUGCACAUCUGUGUAUUAGUCAUUUAAACUCUAAGUUAUUUGUAUAAUUUUCUAGGCUCCUCACAAACCAAAUUCCUUCAUGAUGGUAUCAGCAGCUGAGGCCAUGAACAAACUCUCAGGGAAGUUGUGUCAGAUAGAGUGGACAGCCUAUUAUCUGUAUUUCAGCAGUGCUUUUACAUUUAAUUGUCUUAAACGUUAAGUACUUCCUAGUUGAAAGCCAUGAGACCUUUGUUCCUUGAACAAAGAAGAAGCAAAAACUAUAUUAAAGAAGCCAGAGGAAAGAACAGCACAGCUCCAUGUAACUUUGACUUUAUUCAAAAAACACACUCAUGUCAGCCUCAUGCAUUGGACAAAUUCCUUCUGUGCAAAUCUAUCAUGAUCUUAUGGAA